rnacentral:rRNA from 1 species
CGAGCGAGAACCAGUCCUUCGGGACUGGGGACAGCGGCGAACGGGUGAGUAACACGUGGGUAAUCUGCCCUCGGCACUGGGAUAGCCCGGGGAAACCCGGAUUAAUACCGGAUAGCCUUUCGAGCCUUUGGGCUCGUCAGAAAAGGUGGCUUCGGCUUCCGGCUGAGGAUGAGCCCGCGGCGGAUUAGCUUGUUGGUGGGGUAAUGGCCCACCAAGGCGACGAUCCGUAGCUGGUCUGAGAGGACGAUCAGCCACACUGGGACUGAGACACGGCCCAGACUCCUACGGGAGGCAGCAGUGGGGAAUCUUGCGCAAUGGGCGAAAGCCUGACGCAGCGACGCCGCGUGCGGGAAGAAGGCCUUCGGGUUGUAAACCGCUUUCAGGAGGGACGAAGCCACUCGGGUUAAUAGCCCAGAGGGUGACGGUACCUCCAGAAGAAGCCCCGGCUAACUACGUGCCAGCAGCCGCGGUAAUACGUAGGGGGCAAGCGUUGUCCGGAUUUAUUGGGCGUAAAGAGCGUGUAGGCGGCCAGGUAGGUCUGCUGUGAAAACUCGAGGCUCAACCUCGAGAUGUCGGCGGAAACCAUCUGGCUAGAGUCCGGAAGAGGAGAAUGGAAUUCCCGGUGUAGCGGUGAAAUGCGCAGAUAUCGGGAAGAACACCCGUGGCGAAGGCGGUUCUCUGGGACGGUACUGACGCUGAGACGCGAAAGCGUGGGGAGCGAACAGGAUUAGAUACCCUGGUAGUCCACGCCGUAAACGAUGGGAACUAGGUGUGGGCGGUGUCGACUCCGUCCGUGCCGAACUAACGCAUUAAGUU